rnacentral:lncRNA from 1 species
CCAUUUCAAAGAGUUAAUCUUCACACCUUCCACAAUUUUUGCAGAAUCCGGAUUAAUGCCCUUAAAAAUAAGCUCGUUUCUUGCUUCCCAAAUUCUCCAAACCGUGCAUUGCCAAAUUAAGUUUAGUACCUUUUUUCCACUUUUCCUUGGCCAUUCAUGAUGAAGAAUCUGAAAUGAUUGCACAAAUUCGAAAAGGUAGUAACUACACUACAACUUAACCAUAACUUUACCAGAGACCAUACUUGAGACGCGCAAGGACAAUCAAGCAUCAAGUGUGAGGCAGUUUUGGGGCUUCCUGAGCAUAGAUUCAACAUCGGAUAAAAUGUUUCGUUUCAUCAAGUUUUUUUUAGUAGGAAUCCUAUCUUGGAGGAGUUUCCAACAAAAGGCAGCCACCUUAACUGGAAUUGGCUUCCACCACACCCUUGGCAGAAGUGAAUCUGAAGCUGCAAUCGGGUCGGCAAAGGUGAGGGAGUCGUACAUUGAACGGGUUGAAAACAACCCAUCCGUAGAGCGUUUCCACCUCAGGGAAUCAACCUUAUUAGUCAAGACUUGAAACCUACAAAUACAGCUCCAAAAAUCCAGAAACUCAAGCAUUUCAUUAGCAUUAAAAGUUCGUCUCCAACUAAAGGACCAAGACCAAGAAUCUUCAAAAAUAACCCCCACAUCUGUAACUAACCAAAUUUUUUUAGAAGAUAAAUGAUAGAUAGAGGGAAAUUUAUCUUUUAGACAAACACCGUCAUUAAACCACGGAUCCUCCCAAAAUCUAGCAUAACUACCAUUUCUUAACACAAAAGAAAGAUUACUGAAAAAGAUGUCACCCUCAUCCCCUUGAACUAAAUCAACCAAAUCACGCUACCAAAUAGACAUUUUUUUUCUUCUAACAAGACUACUUUGGUAUCCACAAAACAAAGACUCAUAUCUAGAUUUAAGAAUUUUCACCCAAAGAGACUUAUAUU